CGGGGAAUCCGGAUUCCGGGGGUUCAACGCCCAGGGGUUCCAUGAGCCGCUACUGUUCUCGGACGCCCGGCCGGCCCCGACGCACUCGUCCUAGCACCCCUCCCCUGUCCGGUCCUCCGGCCCCUCCGCCGUCGCCCCUCCGGGGUCUAGCCGGGCGGGGCUGCUCCAGGGUCGCGGCUGGCGCGGGUCCCCGGGCCCUGGCCCUCCGGUGCCCUGGGCCAAGGACAGAAAACUUGAGCAUCCACGCGCAGGGGUGGGGAGCAGGAUCCCACUCUGGGGGUGCACUGCCCCGCCCUCUCCGGGUCUGCCUCGGCCCCGCCCGGGCCUCAGGCCCCGCCCCCUCCCCUCCGCCGGCCCGAGAGCCCCGGGGGCCGCUGCAGCCGCCCAAGCGCCCGCCAUGCGCGUUGCCCCCGCCGCGCCGCUGCUCCAGCUGCUGCUCCUGCUGGGGCCGUGGCUGGAGGCUGCGGGCGUUGCGGAGUCGCCGCUGCCCGCCGUGGUCCUUGCCAUCCUGGCCCGCAAUGCCGAACACUCGCUGCCCCACUACCUGGGCGCUCUGGAGCGGCUGGACUACCCCCGGGCCAGGAUGGCCCUCUGACGGCCCUGCCAGCCCGAGCCGCCAGAGAGGACCCCGAGCCCCCUGCUGGGAGACGACAGACCUCUGAGGCCACAGGCCGACGCGGGACACCCACCCCUCCUUCUGGUCCCCUACUCCUUCCUCUUGGGGCCUUCCCUGGGUGUAGGUUGGGCCCAGCCAGCCCUUUUCACCCCAGCCUUCAGGGCCCAGCUCAACCCCAGUGGGACCUGUGGUUGGCUGGAUUUGAAGAGGAGCAGACAGGAACCUCUGAAGUCCACUGGGGCCCAACGUGGCAGGGAUCGACCACGCUGGAGGCUUCCGGGCACA
rnacentral:sRNA from 1 species